CGGAUGAGUGUAUCCAGCUGCUGGGCGGGAUGGGCUUCAUGCAGGAGGCCGGAGUGGAGCGGGUCAUGCGGGACCUGCGGGUUUUCCGCAUCUUCGAGGGCACCAACGACAUCCUGAGGCUCUUUGUGGCCCUCAGCGGCUU